rnacentral:lncRNA from 1 species
UGGAAGGUUUUUAUGAAGUCCAAACCUUUUGUCCCACCCCAGAACUCUGGGCUCUCCGUCAUGUAACCCACAUCUGAAGAAGGCUCUGUGGUUUCAGUGACCUCCUCUGGUCUGAUGUGCUUCAUACCCUGGUUCUAGCUCAGGCCCUUCCAUUCUUUGGCCCUGGCUGGGUCCCAGUUCCAGCCUUGUCUCUCUCAUCCCAGGGGCAAGCCUUGGUGUAGAAUCCAUCCUUAGCCUUUCUGUUGGGGCUGUAAUGUCCCAACACUCAGUGUUUGUCCUCAGUCUGAAACUCGGCUCUUCACCCAGUCACUUUCAUGUUCUGGCCCGAGGCUUAGGCUCUCAGCUCCCUUGACAUCCGUCACCCGCCAGAGUGGACUCUCCCCAUGGUGGGGUGCUACCCACUGCCCUCCUAGGAGAAGUUCUUCCAUCCUGCAGGACAAGGGCAAGCACCCCCAUAGCAUAUAGGCAGACUCUAGUGAGGGAGGGAACAGAUGGGAUGGGCAGGGUCUCCAAACCAGGGUCACUGGUCUGUCUGGAAAAGUGAAGCUUGGAGCUGCUGCCCACCCAGCCCUCUGUGCUCCACCACCUACAUGGUCCUUCCCUGGGAACUCCUUGCUACCACCUCUCUGCCUUCUGGAAGGGGAUAGAGUCUGACCUCUUGUCUCAGUCGAAAGCUUUCCUGGUCAAGGUCAUGGCCUCAGUGCCCUGCCUUCUGCAUGAUCCCAAAGCACAAUGGUGAGUGAGGAGGGACAGCCUCCCUGCCUCUCACCCUAAGUCAGGCAGAAUGGCAGGCCUGUGCUGCCUCUGCACAGGAAGUCUUCCUCCUCUGUGUAUUGGCUUGAGGCCCGCCUUCCCACCCUCACCUGAGAAAUCUGGAUCUCCCUUGGGCUGUUUUCUAUAAAGUCUGCAAUAGUCUCCGAUACUCUCUG